rnacentral:rRNA from 1 species
UUCCUACGGGGGGCAGCAGUGGGGAAUAUUGCACAAUGGGGGGAACCCUGAUGCAGCGAUGCCGCGUGGAGGAAGAAGGUUUUCGGAUUGUAAACUCCUUUUAUCAGGGACGAUAAUGACGGUACCUGAAGAAAAAGCAUCGGCUAACUCCGUGCCAGCAGCCGCGGUAAUACGGAGGAUGCGAGCGUUAUCCGGAUUUAUUGGGUUUAAAGGGUGCGCAGGCGGCGAGUUAAGUCAGCGGUAAAAUUUCGGGGCUCAACCCCGACAAGCCGUUGAAACUGGCUUGCUAGAGUGGGCGAGAAGUA